rnacentral:rRNA from 1 species
GACGAACGCUGGCGGCGUGCUUAACACAUGCAAGUCGAACGAAGUGGCGAAAGGGUGAGUAAUACGUGGGUAAACUGACCUCCUUUUUGGGAUCAGCCUUGGAAACGGGGUCUAAUACCGAAUAAAGGGGGGUGGGCUCGCGGCCUCUCAGCUUGGUGGUGGGUUGAUGGCCUAGCAAGGCGUUGACGUGUCGCCGGCCUGGGAGGGUGACCGGCCCCAUGUGGCACUCGGUCCCGCCCAGACGCCUACGGGAGGCAGCAGUGGGGGAUAUUGCACAAUGGGCGAAAGCCUGAUGCAGCUACGCCGCGUGGGUGAUGAAGGCGUUCGGUUUGUAAACCUCUUUCGCUAGCGAACGGGUAGGUGGAGAAGAAGCGCCGGCUAACUACGUGCCAGCCGCCGCGGUAAUUC